rnacentral:lncRNA from 1 species
GCCUUCCAAAACAUGGCUGACCCCUCAGGGCCUUCUUCCACUACCUUUUUUUGCUUUUAAACCUACAACCAGACUUAUGUUGCAGUAGGCUUCAAAGGGUGAAGAGCCAGUGUAACUGGGGACAUAACAAUAUGCUCCCCCAAUCUGCAUGAUUUUGCUGGUUUUUACUGAGAGAAACCUUGGGUAUAUGUAGAAAUGGAUGUGAAGAGUGUAAUCAUGGUACAAGGAAUAUGAAAUCAGAUCAGGCCAAAUUUAUUGACUUGGACCUAUUAGGCAGAGACUUGGGUUCAUUAUUUCUGAGAAACUGAGAAUAGCUCUGUAUAUUGGUUGAUUGAAAUUCAGAUCCAAACCUAUCCUACACUAAAUAAGUUGAAAUGUCAGAACUUUCUUGGUACAGUAGAGGAAGAUACCCAAAUGCUUAGGGAAAUUGGAAAAAAUGAGUGUCUUUAUCAUGUAAUUCCUGCCUAGAGAAGGACAGUAGGGAAGGCUCAGGAAUGCCCUAACAGGGAUUCUGGAAACAGUUCUCUGAGACUUUCUUCAACAGAAUUUCCAUAACCCUAACUCUUAAACUUACUGUAUUUGGUGGUGAGUGAGAAUAUAUCUUUCUCUCUCUCUAGUACUGGGAGUUGACCCCAUGGAUGUUCUACCACUGAACUAUAUUCCCAGGCCUUUUUAUUUUAUUUUUGAGACAGGGUCUUAUC